UAAUAAGUGUUUUAUGGCACUUUUUAAAUCCAUAUCCACCUUGUGUGCAAUGUCGGUCGAUCUUCUUCAUGGAGAUCGACCAAACAUCAACCUUUAUCUUUUAACUCCUUGUCUGAAAAAUAUUAUGAAUAAACAAUUCAAAAUA
rnacentral:misc_RNA from 1 species